rnacentral:rRNA from 1 species
UACGAAGGGGGCAAGCGUUGUUCGGAAUUACUGGGCGUAAAGGGCGCGUAGGCGGCUUAUCAAGUCAGGCGUGAAAUUCCCGGGCUCAACCUGGGGGCUGCGCUUGAUACUGAUGAGCUUGAAUCCGGGAGAGGGAUGCGGAAUUCCAGGUGUAGCGGUGAAAUGCGUAGAUAUCUGGAGGAACACCGGUGGCGAAGGCGGCAUCCUGGACCGGUAUUGACGCUGAGGCGCGAAAGCGUGGGGAGCAAACAGG